rnacentral:rRNA from 1 species
GAGGCGCGAAAGCGUGGGGAGCAAAAAGGAUUAGAUACCCUUGUAGUCCACGCCCUAAACGAUGUCUGUUAGCUGUCGGAAGUAUCGACCCUUUCGGUGGCGUAGCUAACGCGUUAAACAGACCGCCUGGGAAGUACGAGCGCAAGCUUAAAACUCAAAGGAAUAGACGGGGACUCGCACAAGCGGUGGAGCAUGUGGUUUAAUUCGAUGGUAAACGAGAAACCUUACCAGGGUUUGAAAUGCCGUCCUUAUGUUUUUUCCGAAAGGAAGAAGUUUUACUUUACUGUGAAGGGAUGGUCCAGGUGAUGCAUGGUUGUCGUCAGCAUGUGCCGUGAGGCGCUCCCUUAAAUGGGGUAACAUGCGCAACCUCUGUUCUGAGUUACAAGUGUCUCAGGAGACAGCCCCCAUCACAGUCUGCAAUUAAUUUUGUGGAUUAUGAUGGGGGAGGAAGGUGGAGAUGACGUCAAAUCCGCAUGUCCCUUUGAUACCCUGGGCUACACACAUGCUACAAUGGCCAAUACAAUGGGUUGCUAAGUUGAAAAAUGGAGCUAAUCCCAUCAAAGUUGGCCCCAGUUCGGAUUGGAGUCUGCAACUUGACUCCAUGAAGUCGGAAUCGCUAGUAAUCGCGGAUCAGCAUGCCGCGGUGAAUACGUUCUCGAGUCCUGUACUCACCGCCCGUCAAUGCAAGGGAGCCGGGAGCACCUAAAGUUCCACUUCGGUGGGAUUAGGGUGAGUUCGGUGACAUGGCAUAAGUCGUAACAAGGCACGUGUAGCGGAAGCUGUGCGUGGAUUAAUUAAAUU